rnacentral:rRNA from 1 species
UACGUAGGGGGCUAGCGUUGUCCGGAAUCAUUGGGCGUAAAGAGCGUGUAGGCGGCUCGGUAAGUCCGCUGUAAAAGUCAAAGGCUCAACCUUUGAAUGUCAGUGGAUACUGCCGGGCUAGAGUCCGGAAGAGGCGAGUGGAACUCCUGGUGUAGCGGUGGAAUGCGCAGAUAUCAGGAAGAACACCAACGGCGAAGGCAGCUCGCUGGGACGGUAACUGACGGCUGGAGACGCGAAAGCGUGGGGAGCGAACAGG